GCAAAGGCUGGGAACAGGACUAGUAAGUCUUUAAGCGAGGUUACAGAGAGUCAGGUAGGUGAAAACUGACGCUGGCGCAAUGACUGAAUGGACCUGGGAGCCGCAAACCCAAAGACUGGUUUAAUAACUCGAGUAGGCUUUGACGCAGAGGGUAGCGUUAUCAGAACCCAGGGUAUCGCUCUAGCAGAUAGGGCCGUACCUGAAUGAGAUGGUCGCUGAGACCAACAAGGGUGGCACCGCGAAGCUAAGCCUCUCGCCCCUUAG
rnacentral:ncRNA from 1 species